GUCCACUGAGUAUGUAUGAGCUUUUGAAAUUGAAAUUGUCGAAUUUUCCGAGCGGACGUCCCCAUAUUGCCAACCAUUUGAGAACAUUUUCACUCCCGCCACCAUGGUUUAAAUGGGUAGUAGCCAAUUUGACCUGGAACACAUGCGGAACUCCUCGCAAGCCCUAAAAUGGCCGAUGUUGGAUGUCGUAGGAAAUCCCGUGUGAUGUCCCUCAUGGCGAUGAUUGGCAGCUCUAGCUGCGGGGAAAAUCAGCAUUUUAUGAACGUACAACAUUUAAGAAAGGCGCGCAUCCAAACUGUAGGCUCAAAUGUCUCCCUUAAAGUCCAAAAGUGGUUUAAUACAUUCAUUCAGAUGCACUUUGAAAGCCAAAGCAUAUGGACAACAACCUUGUACAACUGCUUACAGGCCAUUGGUUAAAGCGGUCAAAGCGUUUCCAUUUAGGUCGAAAUAUCCCUUGAGAGCUUCCAAGCAAACAAGAUCAAGUGCGGCGAAGGGAGGCAACCUCAUUAUUGCUGCAAGUCGAGCAUGCAAAUGACCCUGGAGAACGCCACCGGAUCGUGUCUGUGCGUUUUCUCACCGGAACGGAAUAGACCAAAAGUAGAUGCCAAAACGGGGGAGAUGAUAGUUGAUCAGCGUGCAUGCGAUGCAAGGGUUGGCUGCCACCCCAACGCUUGGCAGCAUCGAGGAGAGGUCGUGUGUGCGUGCGUGUGUGUGUGUGUGUGUGCACGCAGCAAUGCAAUACAAACAGCAGAUGAAGGCCGAUAAGGAAAUGAAGGGAAAGGGCGCAGCUCAAAUCGACUCCACCGAUGCGCCGGUUCGCUCUCAGGAGGAGGACGAGGUGGAACGAGCCAAGGAUGUUUUGAGAGUUUGUGAAUAGGCAACGGACUGGACCGGCUUCGACUUGUACGACUUGACGCAGGCUGACAAAAAAAGAGUCCGAAGUUUGGAGCAUCCGAACUAACCAGACACACACCAUGAACAAUUCGGAGCAAACCAAGGACAACCCGCCAAAUGGGGAUUUUGGCCAACCCGGGCCUCUCAAACCUUCAACUCGCCUCCGCCUAAACACGUUGGACUUCACGGACCUCUGGGAUGAGGAAGAUCUGGAAGCAGACGGUACAGAAGAAGAAGGAACCAACUCAGGAAGCAUCUCAUACAUGGAGGGGUUCUGCGGCGUCUUGGCACCUCCACCACCUCCUCCUCUUGACCCCCUCAUCUUCCUGGGCUCGCCCAGGAGAGCUGCUGAUAAAAGUGCUACCCUGAAGCUCCACUGGCGGGCACUCCAGAGUGUGGCUCCGCUCCCCAGGGCGACUCGCUUCGGGACUCGGACCAUCUGGACGGCACUUGAGCCGGUCCAUUUGGAUACAAAGCGGCUGGAGUUCCUGUUUGAAUGGAAGGGCAAGAGCGCUUGCUUGAGUGUGGCUAGUGGACAGCGGGUAAGAGCCGUCGCCAAUAAAUCAACUUCAGCCAUGUUCUUCCUGAGCUUCCUUCUUUCAACCCAGAAGCAAACUUCAGUCUCAGUGUUGGGGAUGAAGAGAAGUAACAUCAUCACCAUCACCCUGAGCGGCCUGCCUCCCCCCCGCCUGCUCCCGCCUGCCAUAUACGGCAUGGACGGCAGCGUGCUAGACCGAGAGGACAUUCAGCGGCUUCAAACGCUUAUCCCGACGGAGGAGGAGCUUCGUCUGAUCAAGGAGGCCAAGGCUCAGAACCCAAACUCCCAUCUGGCUCCGGCUGAGCUCUGCCUACUGGCUUUGGGGGAGAUCCCGCACCUGAGCUCAAGACUUGGGCUGUGGGCCUUCGUGCUAGAUUACGACUCCUUAGAGCAGGAGAUCGCCAAGCCUCUCUUCUACCUGAAGCAAGCCAUGGAGCAGCUAGUAGGCAGCCAGACCUUCAGACACGUUCUAGCGACGGUGUUAGCCAUCGGUAACUUUCUCAACGGAUGUAAGGCCCGCGGUUUCGAGUUGAGCUACCUGGGCAAGCUAUCUCAAGUGAGGGACACGCGUUCUCGCCAACCUCUUCUACAUCACGUCUGCGUGCUUCUCCUGCAGCUCUACCCGCAGUCCUCGGACCUCUACUCGGACCUGACGACACUGAGCAAAGCUGGCAAGUGUGACUACUCCCUGGUCCUAGCUAACCUGGACCACCUCGAGGCCUUGUCCAAGGGGUCAUGGGAGCAAAUGAAGAUUUUAGAUAAAGCGGAGGAAUGGAAAUGGUCAAACGGGGAGAAGAGGCGACUUGUCGGAGGAGGUGAAAGCCUGGGGCUCGACGGCGCUCUCCGUCACAGGCUGCCAAAUCUUCUGAAGGAGUGUGAGGACAGGACCAAAGUCCUGAGAGCCGUACACCGUAGGGUUGUCAACAGGUUCCAUUCAUUCCUGCUGUUCCUGGGGUACUCCAAAGCAAUGGUGCGAGAAACCAGAGCUGAGGACUUCUGUAGGACCAUAAGUAACUUCUCUCUGGAGUUCCGGGCUGCUCGGCAGACUGUCCUCCUUCAGAAAGAGCGUGCCGCGAGAAGCCCAGCUCCGAACACUCCUGCAAGAAGGACCAACAAAUGUCAUCCCUCUCAGGCGCAUGUACAGAAAGCGAGCAGCACUGCAUGCUGGAGGAGGUGCUGAGAACGCCAGAGUCCACCUCCGGGCUGGACGUGACUCGGCCUCUGCAACGCAGGAGAACGCCAAACAUCCGAGGUCCAGCGCUGACCCUGCUGAUGAAAAGCGAAAAGCUAAAUACAAGUAUUAAAACAGAUAGCUGUUGACAGACAAACUUUUGUUAUUUUAAAUUAAAUCACAGCAUCCUCUGCUGGUUUUGGAGGGGGGGGGGGAAAUAAUAAUAAAAAAGCGAAAGACGGGCACAGUGUGUUUGUGUUUGGCACGCACACUGGCCAGGGUAAGAUGAGACCGACCAAUCGACGAAAGAGACACGUGACCAACUUUGAUUAUUAUUAUUAUUAUUUUUCUUAAGCUUGUGGUCAGUAUUUUUUUUUUACCAGGGAUUUUCUACAUUUUUUUGUGGCCACUUUCAAUCCAUGUACGUACUUUACAUUUGCAUCCAAACUGACGGAGUUGCUCAGAUGAAUGUGGCUGGAAAGGAACAUGACAAGCCAACGAAGAGGAAGAAGAGCAAAAACGAUCAGGAACGUGCCGAUGACAAGGGGACAACUUUGAUAUUGUUUUGGUCCCUCGUGACAAAUUUACUAGCUUAUAUACAAGGAAAAAAGACAGGACCUCGCUGAACCGUUCAGUGUCAUUUCCAUCAAUUUAUGAUUUUGUCAGUGUUUAAUUUUUAAAUAUAGUUUGAGUUGUAUGACUGGUAUUAGUGCCACAAAAUAAAAUAUGUAGCUUGACAUCCACAGGCGAGUAUGCAAACAAAGUGUUGUUUUGGUUGUCCUUUUUCCAUCUAGCGCAAUCAUGCGGUGUCACAUCUGUUCAGUCAAGUGCCAUUGGAGGACACUGACCUUGAGAUGACCUCGGUGAAUGACGGGCAUCAAAUAUAAAGUUGGCCUUGAAGUACACAAGUAGGCACUUCUAAAUCCAUACAUAAUAGACUUGUAUAUAGACCAAUGUAAAUUUACUGUCUUUAUAAUGUACCAAAAAUAAGGU